rnacentral:rRNA from 1 species
GAUUAAUACCUAAUAACGCGAAGAGAUCACAUGGUCUUUUCGCCAAAGAUUCAUCGGUAUGGGAUGGACCUGCGUCUGAUUAGCUAGUUGGUGGGGUAACGGCCUACCAAGGCAACGAUCAGUAGCCGACCUGAGAGGGUAAUCGGCCACAUUGGAACUGAGACACGGUCCAAACUCCUACGGGAGGCAGCAGUGGGGAAUAUUGCACAAUGGGCGCAAGCCUGAUGCAGCAACGCCGCGUGAGUGAAGAAGGUCUUCGGAUCGUAAAACUCUGUCCUUAGGGAAGAAAAAAAUGACGGUACCUAAGGAGGAAGCCCCGGCUAACUACGUGCCAGCAGCCGCGGUAAUACAUAGGGGGCAAGCGUUAUCCGGAAUUAUUGGGCGUAAAGAGUACGUAGGUGGUUUUAUAAGCGCAGGGUGAAAGGCCGAGGCUUAACUUCGGUUAGCCUUGCGAACUGUAAGACUUGAGUGUAGGAGAGGAAAGUGGAAUUCCUAGUGUAGCGGUGAAAUGCGUAGAUAUUAGGAGGAACAUCAGUGGCGAAGGCGACUUUCUGGACUAUAACUGACACUGAGGUACGAAAGCGUGGGGAGCGAACAGGAUUAGAUACCCUGGUAGUCCACGCUGUAAACGUUGUAUACUAGGUGUUAGCGGCUUGUCUGCUAGUGCCGAAGCAAACGCA